AAUUUAGCCUGAAGUUGGAAUAGGUGAUUUAUAUGUUUCCAAUCCUUUUUUCCCCUACAGAGAGAAGAAGGGAAAGGGAGAUAUCAGGCCAUUAGGGACAUCCACAGAUGAAGAAACUGAAGUAGAUAGAGGAAAAGUGACUUGCCUGGAGUUCUACAAAUAGUAAGUUUCUAAGGCUAGAUUUGAAUUCAACUCUAUACAAUGAAUACAACAUUCUG
rnacentral:lncRNA from 1 species